UACGGGGGGGGCAAGCGUUGUUCGGAAUUACUGGGCGUAAAGGGCGCGUAGGCGGUGCGAUAAGUCAGGCGUGAAAGGCCCGGGCUCAACCCGGGGACUGCGCUUGAUACUGUUGCGCUGUGAGUCCGGGAGAGGAUGGCGGAAUUCCCAGUGUAGAGGUGAAAUUCGUAGAUAUUGGGAAGAACACCGGUGGCGAAGGCGGCCAUCUGGACCGGCACUGACGCUGAGGCGCGAAAGCGUGGGGAGCAAACAGG
rnacentral:rRNA from 1 species